AUUGAACGCUGGCGGCAGGCCUAACACAUGCAAGUCGAGCGGAGCGGCGGACGGGCGAGUGAUGACUAGGAAUGUGCCUGGCAGUGGGGGAGAACGACCGGAUACGGACGGUAAUACAUCCUACAUUCAGUUGAGUCUAGGGCGGAUUAGCUAGUUGGUGGGGGAAAGGCCUACCAAGGCGACGAUCCGUAACUGGUCUGAGAGGAUGAUCAGUCACACUGGAACUGAGACACGGUCCAGACUCCUACGGGAGGCAGCAGUGGGGAAUAUUGGACAAUGGGCGAAAGCCUGAUCCAGCCAUGCCGCGUGUGUGAAGAAGGUCUUCGGAUUGUAAAGCACUUUAAGUUGGGAGGCGUUACCAACAGAAUAAGCACCGGCUAACUUCGUGCCAGCAGCCGCGGUAAUUC
rnacentral:rRNA from 1 species